rnacentral:lncRNA from 1 species
AAGGUGUUGGCCAAUCAUCAAAUAUUGUCACUCCAAAGAACACAUUUAACAGCCGGGAAGAAAAUUGUAGGAAAAGAGAGCACUUUGGCACGGAAGGGAAUGCAAACUUGAUCUUGACUUUAAGGUCAAAGCAUUUUCAGAAUGUGCAGUCAGCAGAGAAUUGAAAAAAAAAAUCAAUGUGAAACAUAUUAGAGAAGAAUAAGGGGAAGAGUGAUGCAGAAGUGCUGGGAAGUCAUGCAGGGAUUGGAAACCACAAAGAUUCUACAGAAAGGUCUAUCGCCCUGGUUGGAGUGCAGCAGUGUAAUCAUAGCUCACUGCUGCCAUGAACUUCUGGGCUCAAGCGAUCCUCCCACCUCAGCCUCCCUGUGUGCUGGGAUUAAAAGUGUGAGCCACCGUGCCUCAUCGUAAGGGUCUUAAAAGAAACCCUAUUUCAUACUUUCUUGAUGCACUUGAUAUGGAUUAUAUAAAUCUAUGGACAAAAAUGACAUCAGUACAAUGGAAUAUUGGAGUUUUCUACCAUAAUCUCUGCAUAGUGCACUGAUUUUGACAAUCACCUAUGGAUGAAAAUACAUUUGCCAGAGUCUAGGAGUUAAAUGGAAAAGUUAACAGCACACCGUUGGAGAAAAAUAUCUGGGAGUAGAUGCAUUCAAGGGAGUAAGAAGAACAAUUACCUGCAUCACCUCACCCCCAGGGUCCACUUCUUAGUGCCAAGAUAGACUCCCUUCAGCAGGCAAUUUCUCCCAUGGGGAAAAGGAGAGUAUAAUGAGUUUGCUUUCCAUAUGCUGGAUGAUGUGUGUGGAUUUUCAGUGUGUGUUUCAGAGUCUUAAAAGCUCAUGCUAGCUUGCUUAACAUACCUGCCAUAACUCAUGAUAUAGAACCCUAUGGAGAACUGUGUUGCAACAUGGAUGCAGUGCCUAUACUAAGGCACAUUGCCAAGCUGAAGACUGUCAGAGAGCAUCACUAACGGAGCCUCUGCUGGUGAUACCCAGGCAAACAGGAGCCAGAGUGGACCUCCAGGAAUCUCCAGAAGACCUGCAGCAGAGAGGCCCGACUGUUAGAAGGAAAAAUAACAAACAGAAAGGAAUAGCAUCAACAUUAACAAAAAAGGAUGUCCACACAGAAACCCCAUCCAAAAGUCACCAACAUCAAAGACCAAAGGUAGAUAAAUCCACGAAGAUGAGGAAAAACCAGUGUAAAAAGGCUGAAAAUUCCGAAAACCAGAACGUCUUUUCUCUUCCAAAGGAUCACAACUUCUUGCCAGCAAGGGAACAAAACUGGAUGGAGAAUGAUUUUGGCUAACAGACAGAAGUAGGUUUCAGAAGGUGGGUAAUAACAAACUCCUCUGAGCUAAUGGAGCAUGUUCUAAUCCAAUGGAAAAAAGCUAUGAACCUUGAUAAAAGGUUAGAGGAAUUGUUAACUAGAAUAACCAGUUUAGAGAAGAACAUAAAUGACCUGAUGGAGCUGAAAAACACAGCAUGAGAACUUCGUGAAGCAUAUACAAGUAUUAAUAGCUGAAUCGAUCGAGCGGAAGAAAGGAUAUCAGAAUUGAAGAUCAACUUAAUGAAAUAAAACAUGAAGCCAAGAUUAGAGAAAAAAGAAUGAAAAGGAACAAACAAAGCUACAAGAAAUAUGGGACUAUGUGAAAAGACCAAACCUGUUUGAUUGGUGUGCCUGAAAGUGACAGGGAGAAUGAAACCAAAUUGGAAAACACUCUUCAGGAUAUUAUCCAGGAGAAGUUCCCCAGUCUAGCAAGAUGGGCCAACAUUCAAAUUCAGGAAAUACAGAGAACACCACAAAGAUACUCUUCGAGAAGAGCAACCCCAAGACACAUAAUCGUCAGAUUCACCAAGGUUAAAAUGGAGGAAAACAUGUUAAAGGCAGCCAAAAUAAAGGUCUGGUUACCCACAAAGGGAAGCCCAUCAAACUAACAGUGGAUCUCUUGGCAGAAACCCUACAAGCCAGAAGAGAGUGGGGGCCAAUAUUCAACAUUCUCAAAGAAAAGGAUGUUCAACCCAGAAUUUUUUAUCCAGUCAAACUAAGCUUCAUAAAUGAAGGAGAAAUAAAACCCUUUACAGACAAGCAAAUGCUGAGAGAUUUUGUCACCAGAUGUGCCUUACAGGAGCUCUUGAAGGAAGCACUAAAUAUGGAAAGGAAAAACCAGUACUAGCCACUGCACAAACAUACCAAAUUGUAAAGACAAUCGACACUGAAGAAACUGCAUCAACUAACGGGUAAAAUAACCAGCUAGCAUCAUAAUGACAGCAUCAGAUUCACACAUAAUCAUAUUAACCUUAAAUGUAAAGGGGCUAAAUGCCCCAAUUAAAAGACACAGAUGGCAAAUUGGAUAGAACCAAGAGCCAUCAGUAUGCUGUAUUCAGGAGACCCAUCUCAUGUGCAAAGACACAAAUAGGCCCAAAAUAAAGGGAUGGAGGAAUAUUUAAACAAAACAAAUGGAAAGCAAAAAACAAAAAGAAAACAAAAAAGCAGGGGUUGCAAUUCUAGUCUCUGGUAAAACAGACUUUAAACCAACAAAGAUCAAAAAAGAAAAAGAAGGGCAUUAUGUAAUAGUAAAGGGAUCAAUGCAACAAGAAGAGCUAACUAUCCUAAAUAUAUAUGCAUCCAAUACAGAAGAAUCCAGAUUCAUAAAGCAAGUUCUUAGAGACCUACAAAGAGACUUAGAGUCCCACACAAUAAUAGUGGGAGACCUAACACCCCACUGUCAAUGUUAGACAGAUCAACAAGACAGAAAAUUAAUAAGGAUAUUCAGGACUUGAACUCAACUCUGGAUCAAGCAGAAGUAAUAGAUAUCUACAGAACUCUCCACCCCAAAUCAACAGAAUAUACAUUCUUCUCUGCACCACAUAGCACUUACUCUAAAAUUGACCACAUAUUUGGAAGUAAAAUAUUCCUCAGCAAAUGCAAAAGAACUAAAUGAUAACACAGUCUCUCAGACCACAGUGCAAUCUAAUUAGAACUCAGGAUUAAGAAACUCACUCAAAACUGCACAACUACAUGGAAACUGAACAACUGCUCCUGAAUGACUACUGGGUUAAUAAUGAAAUUAAGGCAGAAAUAAAUAACAGUUCUUUGAAACCAAUAAGAACAAAGACACAAUGAUGCAGAAUGUUUGGGACACAGCUAAAGCAGUGUUUAGAGAGAAAUUUAUAGCACUAAAUGGGAAAGAUCUAAAGUUGACACCCUAACAUCACAAUUACAAGAACUAGAGAAACAAGAGCAAACAAAUUCAAAAGCUAGCAGAAGACAAGAAAUAACUAAGAUGAGAGCAGAACUGAAGGAGAUAGAGACACGAAAAACUUCAAAAAUCAAUGAAUCCAAGAGGUGUUUUUUUUAAAGAUUAACAAAAUAGAUAGACUGCUAGCCAGACUAAUAAAGAAGAAAAGAGAGAAGAAUCAAAUAGAUGCAAUAAAAAAUGAUAAAGGGGAUAUCACCACUGAUCCCACAGAAAUACAAACUACUAUCAGAGAAUACUAUAAAUACCUCUACACAAAUAAACUAGAAAAUCUAGAAGAAAUGGAUAAAUUCCUGGACACAUACACCCUCCCAAGACUAAACCAGGAAGAAGUCGAAUCCCUGAAUAGACCAAUAACAAGUUCUGAAACAGAGGUAGUAAUUAAUAGCCUUCCAACCAAAAUAAAUCCCAGGACCAGAAGGAUUCAGAGCCGAAUUCUACCAGAGAUACAAAGAGGAGCUGGUACCAUUCCUUCUGAAACUAUUCCAAACAACAGAAAAAGACGACUCAUCCCUAACUCAUUUUAUGAGGCCAUCAUCAUCCUGAUACCAAAACCUGGCAGAGACACAACAAAACAAGAAAAUUUCAAGCCAAUAUCCCUGAUGAACAUCAAUGAGAAAAUCCUCAAUAAAAUACUGGCAAACCGAAUCCAGCAGCAUAUCAAAAAGCUUAUCCACCAUGAUCAAGUCGGCUUCAUCCCUGAGAUGUGAGAGUGUUUCAACAUACUCAGAUUAAUAAAUGUAAUCCAUCACAUAAACAGAAGCAAUGACAAAAACCACAUGAUUAUCUCAAUAAAUGGAGAAAAAGCCUUCGAUAAAAUUCAACACCCCUUCAUGCUAAAAACUCUGAAUAAACUCGGUUUUGAUGGAAUGUAUCUCAAAAUAAUAAGAGCUAUUUAUGACAAACCCACAGCCAAUAUCAUACUGAAUGGGCAAAAGCUGGAAGCAUUCCCUUUGAAAACCAGCAGAAGACAAGGAUGCCCUCUCUCACCACUCCUAUUCAACAUAGUAUUGAAAGUUCUGGCCAGGGCAAUCAGGCAAGAGAGAGAAAUAAAGGAUAUUCAAAUAGGAAGAGAGGAAGUAAAAUUGUCUCUCUUUGCAGAUGCCAUGACUGUUCAUUUAGAAAACCCCAUUGUCUCAGCCCAAAAUCUCCUUAAGCUGAUAAGCAACUUCAGCAAAACUUCACAAAAUCAAUGUGCAAAAAUCACAAGCAUUCCUAUACACCAAUAAUAGACAAACACAGAGCCAAAUCAUGAGUGAACUCCCAUUCACUAUUGCUACAAAGAGAAUAAAAUAUCUAGGAAUGCACCUUACCAGGGAUGUGAAGGACCUCUUCAAGGAGAACUACAAAACACUGCUCAAGGAAAUAAGAGAGGACACAAACAAAUGGAAUGUUAUCCCCAUCAAGCUACCAUUGACUUUCUUCACAGAAAUUGAAAAAACUACUUCAAAUUUCAUAUGGAAUCAAAAAAGAGCCUGCAUAGCCACGACAAUCCUAAGCAAAAAGAACAAAGCUGGAGGCAUCACACUACCUGACCUGAAACUAUACUACAAGGCUACAGUAACCAAAACAGCAUGGUACUGGUACUAAAACAGAUAUGUGGACCAAUGGAACAGAGCAGAGGUCUCAGAAAUAACACCACACAUCUACAAUCAUAUGAUCUUUGACAAACCUGACAAAAGCAAACUAUGGGGAAAGGAUUUCCUAUUUAAUAAUUGGUGUUGGGAAAACUGGCUAGCCAUAUGCAGAAAACUGAAAGUGGACCCCUUCCUUACACUUUAUACAAAAAUUAACUCAAGAUGGAUUAAAGACUUAAACGUAAGACCUAAAACCAUAAACCCUAGAAGAAAACCUAGGCAAUACCAUUCAGGACAUAGGCACGGGCAAAGACUUCAUGACUAAAACACCAAAAUCAAUGGCAACAAAAGCCAAAAUUGACAAAUGGGGUCUAAUUAAACUAAAGAGCUCCUGCACAGCAAAAGAAACUAUCAUCAGGGUGAACAAGCAACCUACAGAAUGGGAGAAAAUUUUUGCAAUCUAUUCAUCUGACAAAGGGCUAAUAUCCAGAAUCUACAAAAAAUUUAAACAGAUUUACAAGAAUGAAACAACCCCAUCAAAAAGUGGGUGAAGGAUAUUAACAGACACUUCUCAAAAGAAGACAUUUAUGUGGCCAACAAACAUUUGAAAAAAAGCUCAUCAUCACUGGUCAUUAGAGAAAUGCAAAUCAAAACCACAAUGAGAUACCAUCGCACUCCAGUUAGAAUGGCGAUCAUUAAAAAGUCAGGAAACAACAGAUGCUGCAGAGGAUGUGGAGAAAUAGAAACACUUUUACACUGUUGGUGGGAGUGUAAUUAGUUCAACCAUUGUGGCAGACAGUGUGGCGAUUCCUCAAGGAUCUAGAACCAGAAAUAUCAUUUGACCCAGCAAUUUCAUUACUGGGUAUAUACCUAAAGGAUUAUAGUCAUUCUACUAUAAAGACCCAUGCGCGCGCACACACACACACACACACACACACACACACAUAUAUUUUGAUAAAAAGUAAACUUUAAUGUCGAAAAUGCAAACUUGGGGAGUGCAGAAGUAUCACACGCAAGGCUGUCACUUCACACUUGGAGAGUUUCACAGCGCCCAGGCAGAGGUGCUCCUUACAUCCCAGAUGAUGCGGGGGCCGGGCAGAGCCGCUCCUCACUUCCCAGAGGGUGGGCGAUGGGCAGAGGUGCUCCUCACUUCCCAGAUGGUGGGCAGCUGGGCAGAAGCACUCCUCACUUCCUAGACAGGGCAGUGGCCAGGCAGAGGGGCUCCUCACUUCCCAGUCAGUUGGGUGGCCAGACAGAGGCGCUCCUCACUUUCCAGACAGGGCGGCAGCCAGAGAGAGGUGCUCCUCACUUGCCAGAUGGGGCAGCAGCCAGGCAGAGGCACUCCUCAUUUGCUAGAUGGUGGGGCCGCCGGGCAGAGGGGCAUUUCACUUCCCAGACAGGGCAGCAGCCAGGUAGAGGAGGCACACGUAUUUUUAUUGCCGCACUGUUCACAAUAGCAAAGACUUGGAGCCAAUCCAAAUGCCAAUCAAUGAUAGACUGGAUAAAGAAAAUGUGGCACAUAUACACCAUGGAACACUAUGCAGCCAUAAAAAAGCAUGACUUCAUGUCCUUUGCAGGGACAUGGAUGAAGCUGGAAACCAUCAUUCUCAGCAAACUAACACAGGAACAGAAAACCAAACACCACAUGUUCUCACUCAUAAGUGAGAGCUGAACAAUGAGAACACAUGGAUACAGGGAGGGGGCCAUCACACACUGGGGCCUGUUGGUGGGUAGGGGGCGAGAGGAGGGAUAGCAUUAGGAGAAAUACCUAAUGUAGAUGAUGGGUUGAUGGGUACAGCAAACCAAGAUGACAUGUGUAUACCUAUGUAACAAACCUGCACGUUCUGCACAUGUAUCCCAGAACUUAAAUUAUAAUAAACUAAAUAAAUAAAAAUUCUGAUAUUUUUAAUCCAAGAGGGGUAAAGAUGGGAAAAUAAGAAGACAAAUACAGUCAUGCUCUGCAUAAUGAGGUUUCAUUCAACAAUGGAGCACAUAUACAAUGGUGGUCCCAUAAGAUUACAAUAUCAAGUUGGUGCAAACAUAAUUGUAGUUUUUGCAAUUACUUUUAAUAGCAAAAACCACAAUUACAUUCGCAUGAACCUAAUAAAAUAUUUUUACUGUAACAUUUCUAUGGUUAGAUAUAUUUGUAUACACAAAUAGUUGCCACUGUGUUGCAAUUGCCUACAGUAUUCAGCACAGUAACAUGUUGUACCAAUUUGUAGUGUGUAGUAGACUAUACCAUCUAGGUGUGUGUAAUUACAAUCACUCUAUGAUGUUUGCACAACCGCAAAAUCACCUAAUAAUGUAUUUCUCAGAUUGUAUCACAUCAUGAAGUAAUGUAUGACUAUAAUCAUAUAUAUGAUGGUGGCAAGGGAACACAAUCACUAUGUCAUCUCCAGAUGCUUUGAGCCAAUAGUUUUUCUUGUUUCUUUUUCUAUGUCAACAAAAAAUUGUGAAGUUUUAAAUAAUUUCUCAAGAUUAAUAGUAAUAACAUAUUUCACAAUUUAUUGAGCUGACUUCAUGUACUUUAAAAAUUUCUCUCAUAUUUUCAACAACUGCAACUUUCGGACUUCUAGAAAGCUCAAAGAGAUGAACAGUCCAUGUACUGACCUGUUCCUGAUUUCUACAGCCUCACCUCUGCCACCACAUCUGCCUCUUACACAUCUCUAUGUUUUUGGUUUACAACUUGAUGUAAGAUGGUAGGUGGUGGGUCGAGUUCUGGGAGAUUCCUGAAAAAUGUAGCCUUAAUGAGAGAAAUCAACAUAUAUUCCAAAAAUUAGGGGUUUAGUAGUGAGGAAUGGGUGGUUUCAUCUUCAUUUGCCUUUCCUUGUAUAUUUUGUACACUUCUUAAAACUAAAAUUGUAAUACAACUGCAUUAAGGGUGAUUGGAAUUUAGGGACUGCAGAGGGGAAAAAGACAGCAUCUGGUUUGAUGUACUGUAAAUCUCAGGGAAUCUAACCAAUGGUAUGUUUAUUAAAAUUAUAAUCUGUACUUUUCCUAGAAGCGGUAGUUAAUGCAAGAAUUAAACAUUUGUAAAUAUUGCAUAGUGAAUUCAUUUUUGAAAAAGUUUGCUAUGAGUUCUUCACAGAAAUUAUAUGGGUAUCUAACUCAGGAUGUUCCUGCAGCCUAAAGCAGUAUACCGAAUCCUAAGUCUACACUAAAAUUUGAAGUGAAUGUCUAGAUCCAUCCUUAGGGUAGGGGCA